UGCAACAACCCUAGCGCCGCAGUCCCCAUCGCAGCCGUGCGCGUGGCCGGGGCCGGCGCGAGCUCGCCCGCCGGCGCCGCCAUCCAUCCCAUCGCAGCCGCACGCGUGGCCGGGGCCGGCGCGAGCUCGCCCGCCGGCGCCGCCAUCCAUCCCAUCGCAGCCGCACGCGUGGCCGGGCCGGCGCGAGCUCGCCCGCCGGCGCCGCCAUCCAUUCCCAUCGCAGCCGCGCGCGUGGCCGGGGCCGGCGCAAGGUCACCCGCAUCUCCGCCCGUCCGCUGGCGCCGCAUCUCCAACCCGCUCGGACUACAUCCAGCAGGUCGCGCCGCAACGGCCUGCUCAAGAAGGCCUACGAGCUCUCCGUGCUCUGCGACGCCGAGUUCGCGCUCAUCAUCUUCUCCAGCCACGACAAGCUACGAGUUCGGGAGCACCGGAUCUGCUGCUUUUACCCUUAAUUUCACUUUCCCUUUGCGGAAAAGAUCUGCGAGUAGUCGAGAGCUCUACUCCUGUACUCCUGUACAUCUCCGCCCUACGCCGCCACUGCUCCAGCGGCACUAGAUGGAGGCGGCAGACGGAGCAAUGGUUAAUUUUAUAGUAUUGCAGGAGUUACCUUUCAGUUUAGUUGAGCAUGCACCUUUUCCGAGAUUCAUUGCUACUUUAAACCCAUAGUUUACCAUAGUUUCCAGAACUACGGUUGUCGAGGAUGUUAUAAAGUCAUAUGGGAACCGAAGGUCAGCACUUAGGGAAACUAUCAGGGACUCGGAUUCAAGGCCAUACUAAUUUCAAGAUUGCAGAAGGUGAUAUUAGUGAUGAUGAGGGUCAGUUAGAAUAAAAGCUAACAGAUAUUUUCUUGAAUAUGGUAUUUUCUUGUUGAAUAUGUUAUGCAGCAGUGUGCCUAUAAGGGAUUAGGUAUCUCAUUUUUAGUAACUUGUGCUGUUAUACAUGCAUCCUGCUUUUCAGACUUGACAAACUUGAACCCUACUAUUGAUGUUUAAUAAAUCAUCAUCCAUUUUCUUAACAUAACAUAUGUUAUUUCAGCCUUUAAUUUAUGAUGGCAUGAAAGAGUGGAGCUGCUGCAAGCAAUGAAGCCAUGAUUUUAGCUUAUUUUUGGCGAUACCAUGUUUAAUAAACUACAGUUAAUUUGUUAGGCAAUUUUGGAGUUAUUUAUUCUGUAAAAAAGCUUGACUGUCAAACUGAUAUAUUCAAGGCGCUUAUGGUUCUUUCGAUUUUCUCCCUCUGAUUUCAGGUCUUUUUCUUCCGGCCGUUGUCGGGCCCAUCUUGGAUUCUUUUGAGACUGCCAAACAAGUUCCUCAACCAGCUCUAAGUGAUAUGUCACCUAUAUUGCAGGCUUCACAGGGCAGCAGAUAGAGCUUGGUCCAGGCUGCACGGGCACUCAAGUCCUGACGCUGAAGAUACUAGUGUUACCUUAUCAGCUAAUUGUUUGCUUCACCGUGGCCUCAGUGACAUGUGGUGCUGGUUCAGCUUACCGCUUGCCUAUUGUUUGCAAGUCGAUCUACUAAAAGUAACUGUCAUAUCUUGUUCAUCCUAGUCUGGAAGAAACUAACAGUUUAUUGGAAGAAGUUACUGGUUCUUGUUUAUUCGUGUUAUAAGUGCUGUCUGUCACACCUUGUUCAUCCUAGAUGAUGAAUUAAUGAUGUAACUGUUUUUGUGUCAUCCGUGAUGACUUAAUGAUGUAACAUUGAACGACACAUCCGUUCUCAAUGUUGUUUUUGCUGUUCUUUUUUCA